AACAUAGUUUUAUGUAUUUAUAUAAAAUAUUUUCUGCCCAAUGUUUUUAAAAAAAAUCAAUGGCCGCAGUACCUUGACUGUGCUAAGGUAGCAUAAUCAAUUGGCUUUUAAUUAAGGUCUAGAAUGAAUGGGAUAAUGAAGUUAAUCUGUCUUAGUUGCUUUUAUUAAAAUUUAUUUAAAAGGUGAAAAUACCUUUUUUAAAAAUAAAGACGAGAAGACCCUUAGAAUUUUUAUUAUUUUUUUUUGUUGGGGCGACAGUUUAAAAUAUAAUCUUAAAUUUAUUGUAAUAUAUAUAUAUAACGAUUUUUUUAAUAGAAAUUAAAUUACCUUAGGGAUAACAGCAUAAUUAAUUAUUUAGUUUGUGACCUCGAUGUUGGACUAGGAACUAUAUGGCUAACCGUCUAAUUAGAUUUGUUCUGUUCG
rnacentral:rRNA from 1 species